GAAAUGCGUUUAUGCACUUAAAAAAAUAAUAAUUCUACUAAACGCUUUGAAUACAAUGGGUAUAUUUUAAUAUAAAAUAAAUUAAUUGCUUUAAACCUGAGGUCUAUACACGUGUUUAAAAUAAUUACGUCAACUAAUCGCUUUAAAAGCAACAAGUUUAUUCUCUUUUUAAAAUAAAGUCAACUACUCUCUUCAAAAGCAAUGGGUUUACUCACUUUUUUCGUACUCCAGCACCAUAUUUACAGUAAGUGACCCUGAGAUCUUCUAAACAAAAGGCAGAUCUCACCCAGCAGAGAUGCUACAGCUCUUGUUUGCAAUGCCAAAGUCUGUCAGGCGGUGCAGCAUCAGGCGUGUUCAGACAGGCACGCUGGAGCCCAGGAGAUAUUAACAGUCCCGCACCUCCAGCCUCCGUUUCUAGGAUAUUGUGCAAUUGGCUGGAAUGCAUGGAGCUCCGCUAGGGGAAUAUACACCCUCCGCUUCAGAGCAUGUUUCAGAUGCAAGUUUUAUUUCUGCUGGAUCUUCUUGACUGAUGCAAUCAAAGAAAAAGGCCAAGAGUUUUAAAGUCUGAAUGCUCACAAAUGCUGUCUUGAAGAUGCAUCAUGCUGAAACAGGUGCAUAAGGAAAGUCAAUACCCUGAGGCUCUUCACACUCAUCUCGCCCUCCUUCCUCUAACCCGACACCCGGGAGCCCGAAGCCCUGGAGAGCCCAGACAAGAGCUGCUGGACUGAAGGACUUAAUGAUGCAUGCAGGCGGAGAGCAGAACUAACAGAAUAAGAGUGCGGAUCUCUCUCUCUCUCUCUCUCUCUCUCUCCGGGGGGAGUGCACGGGCCAGAGCACUACAUGUGAGAAGCAACAGAGCUGUAAUAGUUAUCAGGUAGCAGCUGCAACACUGCGAGUGAGAAUGGACUUAACAUUCUGCUAAUGCAACAAGACGUCCUAACUAGCCCAUGCCACACGUCAAGAGCUUUCCGGGGGAUUUGGACGGAGCCGUCUUUCCCUGUAGUGUUCAGAAUGAUAAAACCAGCUGGUGCUGCUUUCACCUGGUACUGUGAUGGGUGUUUCAGGACUGGGAGUCGAUUAAAAUAAAUAACUGUU